AGGAGGUAGAACUAACAGGAUCCCCUAGUAACUGCGAGUGAAGCGGGAAAAGCUCAAAUUUAAAAUCUGGUGGUCUUUGGCCAUCCGAGUUGUAAUUUAGAGAAGCGUCUUCCGCGUUGGACCGUGCACAAGUCUCCUGGAAUGGAGCGUCAUAGAGGGUGAGAAUCCCGUCUUUGGCACGGACACACCAGGGCUUUUGUGAUGCGCUCUCGAAGAGUCGAGUUGUUUGGGAAUGCAGCUCAAAAUGGGUGGUGAACUCCAUCUAAAGCUAAAUAUUGGCGAGAGACCGAUAGCGAACAAGUACCGUGAGGGAAAGAUGAAAAGCACUUUGGAAAGAGAGUGAAACAGUACGUGAAAUUGUUGAAAGGGAAACGCUUGAAGUCAGUCGCGUCGACCGAGACUCAGCCUUGCCUCGGCUUGGUGUACUUCUCGGCUGACGGGUCAGCAUCAAUUUUGCCCCUUGGAUAAUGGCAAGGGAAAUGUGACACCUUUACGGUGUGUUAUAGUCUCUCGUCGCAUGCAAGGGUCGGGAUUGAGGAACUCAGCACGCGCCUUCGGGCGUCGGGGUUUUUGCCCACGAUACGUGCUUAGGAUGUUGGCGUAAUGGCUUUAAACGACCCGUCUUGAAACACGGACCAAGGAGUCUAACAUGCCUGCGAGUGUUCGGGUGGAAAACCCGUGCGCGUAAUGAAAGUGAAAGUUGGGACCUCUGUCGUGGAGGGCACCGACGCCCGGACCAGACCUUCUGUGACGGCUCUGCGGUAAAGCAUGUAUGUUAGGACCCGAAAGAUGGUGAACUAUGCCUGAAUAGGGUGAAGCCAGAGGAAACUCUGGUGGAGGCUCGUAGCGAUUCUGACGUGCAAAUCGAUCGUCAAAUUUGGGUAUAGGGGCGAAAGACUAAUCGAGCCAUCCUUGCGUG
rnacentral:rRNA from 1 species